UACGGGGGGGGCAAGCGUUGUUCGGAAUUACUGGGCGUAAAGGGCUCGUAGGUGGCCAACUAAGUCAGACGUGAAAUCCCUCAGCUUAACUGGGGAACUGCGUCUGAUACUGGAUGGCUUGAGUUUGGGAGAGGGACGCGGAAUUCCAGGUGUAGCGGUGAAAUGCGUAGAUAUUGGGAAGAACACCGGUGGCGAAGGCGGCGACCUGGUCCGAUACUGACGCUGAGGCGCGAAAGCGUGGGGAGCAAACAGG
rnacentral:rRNA from 1 species